GAGAGUAUGGCUCACAUGUUAGGAUUACUGCUUAAUAAGCACAAAGCCCAGAGUUCAAACCUCUGUACUCCCU
rnacentral:tRNA from 1 species